rnacentral:rRNA from 1 species
UCUUCCGGGAUAGGUAGUAGUUAAGGUGAUGGCUUAACUAGCCAAAAACUCUCGUAGUCGAAGCUGAAAGGUUGAUCGACCACAUUGGGUCUGAAAAAACCCCAAUGCAAGUUAGUACAGCAGUGAGGAAUCUUGGUCAAUGGCCUAACGGCUGAACUGGCAACUUGGAGAAGUGGCAAGUCUUAUUUUGAUUAUAUUACAAUAUAUAAUCUAUAAGAUUGUAUUAAAAUUGAAUAAAGCUUUGUUUAUAUAUUGAUAAUGACAGUAUAUAUAUCGUGUCUUGACUAAUUACGUGCCAGCAGUCGCGGUAAUACGUAAGAGACUAGUGUUAUUCAUCUUGAUUAGGUUUAAAGGGUACCUAGACGGUCAAUAUAUCUUCUAAAAUGUUAGUACUUGACUAGAGUUUGAUAUAAGAGGGCAGUACUUGAGGAGGAGAGAUGAAAUUCUAUUAUACCAAAGGGACUCGGUAAAGGCGAAGGCAGCCCUCUAUGUAAAAACUGACGUUGAAGGACGAAGGCACAGAGCACAAACAGGAUUAGAUACCCAAGUAGUCUUUGCAGUAAAUGAUGAAUGCCAUAGGUUUAGAUUAA